UACGUAGGUGGCAAGCGUUGUCCGGAAUUAUUGGGCGUAAAGCGCGCGCAGGCGGUCCUUUAAGUCUGAUGUGAAAGCCCACGGCUCAACCGUGGAGGGUCAUUGGAAACUGGGGGACUUGAGUACAGAAGAGAAGAGUGGAAUUCCACGUGUAGCGGUGAAAUGCGUAGAGAUGUGGAGGAACACCAGUGGCGAAGGCGACGCUUUGGUCUGUAACUGACGCUGAGGCGCGAAAGCGUGGGGAGCAAACAGG
rnacentral:rRNA from 1 species